UUCCAUCCAUCAAAGUGUCCACGUGGAAGACGGUGGGCUGAGUUGUCUGUUAAAAUGCCAAAAAAUGAAACAAUCAACUCCCAAGUCAUCCAAACACAACCCAUUUUUUUCAAUCUACCUAAUCUAAAAUAAGAGAGAGAAGCAAUUCAAACACUUUUCCUUCUCCCCCUCUCCAAACCCUAGCCUCGAUUACUCUCUGCAAAAUGAAGAAAAACCCCAGCCCCAGUAGUCGCCCGAAAUCCAUUUCAUUUGCAAGAUAUUUUUCGCCAUUCGAAUUGGAUAGCCCAUAACAAUGCCACGAAGAACCAUAUACCUGAAAUCUAAUUCACAACCCAUUUUGACUCAAGUUUUGCUACGGGUGUCUCGACGCUUAUAUCAAACCCAAACACUCUGCAAUUGAAGAAAAACCCCAGAAUUCCAUUUCGUGUGUGAAUAGUGAGUGGUUUAAGGUUUAGGGAAGAGCCCUAACAUUAAAUCCGUUGGAAGCAUUUCAUUUGUUUGCAAAGUAAGGACUUUUGAUCCUGCUCGUUGAAAUUGAUUCCUGCUCAUUGAAAUUGAAUCCAGAAUGCCAGGGAGAAACAAGGGUAUUUGUCAUAGUUGUAGGCUGCCUAGGCACAUGUUACCGGAAUGCCCAACAAAGACACGAUGCCAAAAAUGUGGAUUGGGAUUUGUGAAAUGUAUGGAGGUUGAAAAAAGACAAAGAACAUAGGUCGAUUAUUCAAAUGUUGUACUAGAGAUUGUGGUUAUUUUAAUUGGAUCGAUGAUCAAUCGUCAUCACAAGAACCACCUCUGCAAUGACAGUGAGUUGAGUGCAAAAUUGAAGACGAAAGACUCGCUUGAAGAUUCGUCAUCCAUGUUGAAGACUGCCGUCCAGUUAAUAGAAGAACUACAAUUGGAGAUAUCUAUUAACAUAACGAUUCGUAAGAGAAAAGGAGCUAUCGAGGACAAUGGGAAAGGAAAGGGAAAAGUUCCGUAACUUGUUCUCAACUAUGUAAUGGAAUAAAAGUUUGGCAUUGUAGUUUUGAAACAUAAUGCUUAUGUAAUCAGCAGUAGUAGUUGCAAUGUCCUUUAAGGCAUCGAGACUUGGAUGCAAUUUUGUAGUAGCUCCAUUAUUUAUUGAUGCAAUGUUGUAGCAACUCAAUUAUUUUUCAACGAAAGUAGUUCCCUCCAAUCUUAUAUGUAUUCUUUGUCCUUGAAAUGUAUGUCAAGCUUAAUUUAAUC